AGCGAACGCUGGCGGCAGGCUUAACACAUGCAAGUCGAGCGGGCAUCCUUGUGGUGUCAGCGGCAGACGGGUGAGUAACGCGUGGGAACGUGCCCUUCGGUUCGGAAUAACUCAGGGAAACUUGAGCUAAUACCGGAUACGUGCGAGAGCAGAAAGGUUUAUCUGCCGAAGGAUCGGCCCGCGUCUGAUUAGCUAGUUGGUGAGGUUACGGCUCACCAAGGCGACGAUCAGUAGCUGGUCUGAGAGGAUGAUCAGCCACACUGGGACUGAGACACGGCCCAGACUCCUACGGGAGGCAGCAGUGGGGAAUAUUGGACAAUGGGGGCAACCCUGAUCCAGCCAUGCCGCGUGAGUGAUGACGGCCUUAGGGUUGUAAAGCUCUUUUCUCCGGGACGAUAAUGACGAUACCGGAGGAAUAAGCCCCGGCUAACUUCGUG
rnacentral:rRNA from 1 species